GGAGUGAGUUGGGAGCAUGGGAGUAGAAACCCAACACAGAUACGGACAGGAGCCAAGGCAACUCAUCUCUGCCUGGGACAGAAACAAGUCCCCAGGCCUGACAUCUGAGCACUGCCUGCUUUCCAUUUGAGCGUCCCAGGAGACCUGAGUUGUCUUUUCCUCACAGGGGGAGGCAGUCUCAGCAGAAAAGUGCCUGAUGCUGAGAUAAUUUGAGGAAAUGGAAAGAAGAGGGCUAUUUACCCGUCUGGAGAUGCUGUUAUUUUCAACUGCUAUAAUUUUCAACUGUCUCAAUGAAUUUAGGUCAGAGAGCCUUCUAUGCAGCUUAGUCCAGACGAUAUCAGGCUGUAGAGAGCACUUGUUGGGUGUCAUCAGGGACUCACAUGUGCCUCAGGCAUUGAUCUGGUCUCAUCUCAGCUGGCUUUGAGAACCUCUCCAAGAGGACCAAGUACAGUGGUUCUGGCUUGAAGCAGCAUGGACUUAAACAUGAGCCUUGAAGGCACAGGCUUGCUUGGUGUAAAGGCCCCUUAAACAUGCACAUACAUGUGUGGGUACACACGCCCACGCACGCCUGUGGGUUUUUUUCCUCAAUGAGUCUUUUUGUCUGGGGAAAAAAAAAGUCUUAGGUAAACAAAACAAAACCAUCAGAUAAUUAUUGCAUAGAAAAUGUGCUGCACCAGAAACCUAAUUUCUAUCAGAAGACUAAACCAAUGGGAAUUCUUCUAGCAGCUCAGAGAAGCUUCCUGGCUUUUUAUUGAUCCUUUGAGUGAUGAGAUCCCUACUUCUGAUUCUUUCCUUAAUGCUAUUUUUGGCUGUUGCAUAUCACCAUUAGGGCACAAUGCAGAUUGAGGAUUAGCUUCUUGUGUCUGUAGUUCAGGCACAAACUUCAGGUAGAGCCUUUCUCUUUCUUUCAGAUAUAAUCAUGAAUAUUCAUGGCUUUGUCAAAUACUGUCCAGGUGUUCACCUAUAAAUAUUCACAAAUCAUUGUUGUGUGUGAGCAUAAAUCUGCAUCAUCUAAGCAUGAAUGUGAAAUUGUCCAGAUAGAUCAUGAAUAUUCAUUGUUUAAAUAGACUCUGAAUUGCCCAUAAGCUGUCUCCCAUUUUAGCAGCUUGAUCUAAUGGCUCUUUCACAAUGAGUCCGCAGCUUUACAAGUGACUGGUCAGAGCAGAGACAAUAAAAUUUAUCAUCGUGCACA
rnacentral:lncRNA from 1 species